AAAAAAAAACAUUUUCUCCCAAAUCAAUUAAUCUCUCCAUAACCUAGUUUCGUAUUCUCUCUCUUCUUUCAAGAACUCAAUCGAUCCGAGACGCUUCCAGAAAUUUCUGAAACAUCAAAUCCCUUCGAAUUUUCAGAUUAAGUUUCCUUUUCUCUGUUAUUCACCUGAAACCGAUCUGUCUGACGGGUUAGGGUUUCUCGCUCGUAGUCGUCGAGUUUUGUAACAGAAACAGAGAGUAAGGCUUCAAGAAGAAGAGGCUCUGAACAAGAUUCUUCAAGUGAUGAAGCCUAUGGUGGACGGAAAAUGAAGGAGAUUAGGUGUGGAUGACAAGCAGUCUGAAUUAGAGCAGAUGACACUACAUUACCUCAAAAGCAAUGAUGACAAUCUGUGAGGAUAACAAGGUGAUCUUUGUUGGGCGUUUUACUCCGCUCCACACCCUCUCUCUCUAAGGUAAAUUUCUCUCUAUGUCUUAGACUUUUCCGUUUUAUUUUAAAAGCGCUUUUAUUCCGGUUUUGUUUUGAGAUUCUUGACAUUUUUUAAAUCAGGAUUCCUUUUGAUUCUUCUUUUAAAAGGACUUUUAAAGCUUAUUUGUUUUCUUAUGGUUUUAUCAGAACCAAGAUAUUAGGUAGACGUUCUUCUAAUGUUCUAACAAAUCUUGUUUGGCCACGGUUUUGAUUUUGGUUUUGUUUUUCAAACCCCAAAAGAGAUCAUAGACAGACACUAAUCUAAUAGUGUUCUGUUAGAUUCUUAUUUGGGAACAUUGUUUUGUUUUUAUUUUUCAAACCCCAAAAAAGAUCCUAGACAGACACUAAUCUAAUAGUGUUCUGUCUGAUUCUUAUUUGGGAACAUUGUCCCUUGCUGCCUCUAGAAGAAACUUAUGCCAUCCCCUAUAGUAAGAUUGUUAAUUGGACCGAGAAUAUGGGUUGGUAGUGCAUGUAUAAAGAAGGAUGUUAGGGGAUGGCAAAUAAGAGCAUUCGACUCAGUCUUAAAGACAAAAAAGUUUUAGUACCCACGGCUUGAGAAGAAUCUGUUUUCAGUUUACAUGCAUGGUUGCGGUUUGAGAAAGUCUUAAAGACUGACUAUAACUGAAAACAGAUUCUUUUACCCACGGCUUACAAAUGUCUUGACAAAGACAAAGACAAUAUGAGGGGGCUUAAGACUUGUUGGAUUGGAAAUAACGACCAACAGCCCAGAAAAAGUGGCAUUAGUGGAUGGAUAAUAAUACCACACGGCUUACAAGCCUUUAUAGACAAGACUUUUACUACCCACGGCUUGAGAAGAAUCUGUUUUCAGUUAUUAGAAUGGUUGCGGUUUAAGAAAGUCUAAAGACAUAGACUAUAACUGAAAACAGAUUCAUUACCCACGGCUUACAAAUUCCUUCCUUACCCACGGCUUGAUGAGAAUCUGUUUUCAGUUAUUUGAACAAAGUCUAAAGACAUAGACUAUAACUGAAAACAGAUUCAUUAAGAGCUUACAAAUGUCUUGACAAAGACAAAGACAAUAUGAGGGGGCUUAAGACUUGUUGGAUUGGAAAUAACGACCAACAUCCCAGAAAAAAUGGCAUUAGUGGAUGGAUAAUAAUACCACACGGCUUACAAGCCUUUAAAGACAAGACUUUUACUACCCACGGCUUGAGAAGAAUCUGUUUUCAGUUAUUGGAAUGGUUACGGUUUAAGAAAGUCUAAAGACAUAGACUAUAACUGAAAACAGAUUCCUUACCCACGGCUUACAAAUUCCUUCCUUACCCACGGCUUGAUGAGAAUCUGUUUUCAGUUAUUUGAACAAAGUCUAAAGACAUAGACUAUAACUGAAAACAUAUUCAUUAAGGGCUUACAAAUGUCUUGACAAAGACAAAGACAAUAUGAGGGGGCUUAGACUUGUUGGAUUGGAAAUAACGACUAACAGCCCAGAAAAAAGGCAUUAGUGGAUGGAUAAUAAUACCACACGGCUUACAAGUCUUAAAGACAAAGACUUUUAGUACCCAUGGCUUGACAAGAAUCUAUUUUCAGUUUAUUUUCAUGGUUACGUUUUGAAAAAGUCUUAAAACAAAGACUAUAACUGAAAACAGAUUACCUACCCACGGCUUAUAAAUGUCUUGACAAAGACAAAGAAAAUGUAGGAUAUUUAAGACUUGUUGGAUUGGAAAUAACGACCAACAGCCCAGAAAAAAGGCAUUAGUGGAUGGAUAAUAAUACCACACGGUUUACAAGCCUGAAAUACAAGACUUUUACUACCCACGGCUUGAUGAGAAUAUGUUUUCAGUUAUUGGAGUGGUUACGGUUUAAGAAAGUCUAAAGACAUAGACUAUAACUGAAACAGAUUCAUUACCCACGGAUUACAAAUGUCUUGACAAAGACAAAGAAACUGUAGGAGGUUCAAGACUUGUUGGAUUGGAAAUAACGACCAACAGCCCAGAAAAAAAGUCAUUAGUGGAUGGAAAAUAAGACCAUACGGCUUACAAGUCUUAAAGAAAAAGACUUUUAUGAGAAUCUGUUUUCAGUUAUUUGAAUGGUACGGUUUGAGAAAGUCUUAAGACAAAGACUAUAACUGAAAACAGAUUCCUUACCCACGGCUUACAAAGAUUCACUACCCACGGCUUGAUGAGAAUAUGUUUUCAGUUAUUUGAAAGGUUAUGGUUUGAGAAAGUCUAAAAGACAAAGACUAACUGAAAACAGAUUCUUUACCAAUGGCUUACAAAUUUUUUGACAAAGACAAAGACAAUAUGAGGGGGCUUAGACUUGUUGGAUUGGAAAUAACGACUAACAGCCCAGAAAAAAGGCAUUAGUGGAUGGAAAAUAAAUAAGACCACACGGCUUACAAGUCUUAAAGACAAAAGACUUUUACGAGAGAGUCUUAAUAUAAGGACUAUAGCUGAAAACAGAUUUUAUCCUUACCCACGGCUUACAAAAAUUUACAACCCACGGCUUGAUGAGAAUAUGUUUACGGUUUGAGAAAGUCUAAAGAUAUAGACUAUAACUGAAAACAGAUUUCCUACCCACGGCUUACAAAUGUCUUGACAAAGACAGAGAAAAUAUAGGAGGUUUAAGACUUGUUGGAUUGGAAAUAACAACCAACAACCCAGAAAAAAGUCAUUAGUGGAUGAAAAAUAAAAGACCACACGGCUUACAAGUGUUAAGGCAAAACACUUUUACUACCCACGGCUUGACGAGAAUCUGUUUUAGAUUAUAUGGAUGGAUAGAGUGAUGACCAACGGCUUAAGAAGAUCUCAAGACAGAGACUACUAAUUGAAAACAGAUUCCCUAUUUCACUACUCAUGGCUUACAAAAGGCAGAUCGGUAAAAAGACUUGUUGGAUGGAAACAUAAUAUGAAAGACAAUGUCAAUGGGGAAGUUCUAAGCUUUGCUGGAUGGAAGUUAACGACCAGCUGCUUAGAAAAAGUUGUUUGAGGAUGGCAACUAAAACCAAAUGGCCUAUAAGUCUCAAGGCAAAAGACUGCAAUUUACUACCCACGGCUUCACUCCUCAUGGCUUACAAAAAAAUACUUGCUGGAUGGAAAUUAACGACCAGCUGAUUGUAACAAGUUAUCAAGGGUUGGCAAAAGACUGUGAUUUACUACCCACGGCUUCACUCCUCAUGGCUUACAAAAAAAGACUUGCUGGAUGGAAAUUAACGACCAGCUGAUUGUAACAAGUUAUCAAGGGUUGGCAGAUAAAACCAAACGGCUUAAGCAUUAGAAGGAACAAGGUAAGCUUUGGGAAUACUAUGCAAGUAAAGACUAACUAUUUUUGUUUUCUCAGGUUUGUGCUUCAGAAGGAGCAUGUUGUUUGAGAGAUUCCGAGGAAAUUUCAAGUGUAGCAGACUUAUGCAACAAGUUUGUGCUUCAGAAGGAGCAUGUUGUUUGAAAGAUUCUGAGGAAAUUUCAAGUGUAGCAGUUCUGUGACAGCUUAUCAAAAUAUUGCUACCCACCGUGGCGCCAAGAAGAUGUAUUAUAGUGUCAAAUACAACAAUACAGCAGAUCAAUUCUGAGAUGAAGUAAGAGCCAGUCGCAGCAGCGAUGCCCGACCCGAGCUUGUUCACCAUUUGCGCUACUUAAGCGGGUUCCCUAGUCCGAUUCUUUAUGAUAUCUCUUGAGGGUUAAUAGUUAAAUAUAUUCUCUCCUUUUCUUGUGUUCAUCAGGGCAAGUUGAUGAAGCCUUGAGGUUGCGGGAAUAUGAAGUGUAUAAUUCAAACAGACUCUUAACUAGUUUUGUUUUCUAACUACAUUCUUAUGUAAUGACAGUUCUUGUUUCUCUGUUUAAUAUGAAAGUUGUUUUCUUUUCUUUUUC